rnacentral:misc_RNA from 1 species
GUCAGAUAAUAAUCAACCUCAUCUUGCAGUCUUUCGAUACAAGUCUUCAACAUGAUUUCAAAUUAAGGAAACAUACCUCCAUAAAAAAUUCAAACUUCACUGUCAACUUUUGUUGACAUGGCAGAAAUCUGGUGCAAGCAGGAGAAGCUUGGUCCAAUAGGAUCUGACCCGGAAGUUUUGGGCUUCAGGAGCAUUGGAUGACCAAUCUGACAACGGCCACCAAGUGAUCGGAAGAAGGCAAGGUGCUAAGAAGUGACAAACAUUGAAUUCUGUGGGUUUACGAUUGGAUCUUGAGUCGGUUUGGAUUUGACCUGAACAAAUCUCCUUCUCCGAGAAGAUUCUGGUUUCCGGAAUCUUAGGUUGGGGGUCUGCCGCCGUCGAACCACCUCAGGCGACCGGACUGGUAUCUCCGGAUUCACCACAAGCCGGUGAGUCUACUGGUGACAAGUCUACUUUUUUUUUAACAAUAAACAGUAAGCUAUGGUAGAAAAAUUGGGUCAAAAAAUAAAGGAAAAUUUUAAUGGCACAAGGGAGGUGGGG